AUGCCAUGGUGAGGGCAUUUUCUCAAAAGCUCUUUAAAUCUUUCCCAAGCAUCGGGAACUGCCUCAUCGUCCAUUUGUUUAAAAAGACAAAUUUCGUUUUUGGACUU